UCCCUGGUGGCUCAGAGGUUAAAGCGUCUGCCUCCAAUGCAGGAGGACCUGGGUUCGAUCCCUGAGUGGGAA
rnacentral:tRNA from 1 species